UUAUUUCUGGAUUUUCAAUUUUACUCCAUUGAUCUAUUUGUCUGUUUAUGCCAGUACAUACAGUCUUGAUCACUGUGACUUUGAAGUAAGUUUUAAGAACAUAUUGCUGUCUUUAAAAGUUGAAGUAGACAAUGGUGUGGGGAAGAAUAGAGUUGAAGAAUUGAACUAGAGAUUAAGAUACCCAUCCUGGUGAUCUAGAGGCAGACCCAGCUGCAAGUGGGGUGAAGAAUUCUAGAUGAUGCAUGUGGAGAGUAUGGAAUGGCACAGUAAUGAGCCUGAAGGUGGAAUUCAAAUGGCCUCAGUUGUGAGAAGAGGAGGAAUGUUGGGGUAGGAGCCAGCCAAAAUGAUCAAAAUGACAGCCAGUCUUUUGAACUUGAAUUUGCUUAUUAUAAUUUCUUAUCAGAAACCAUCACUCUCUGUGUAUUGAUUUCUAGCCAAUGAUUAACCAGAUGUGACUUUAGAGCCUUGAUCAUAGCUGGGGAACUCACUCAACAGAGAGAAGCCUGCUAGUUGUUGAACAAAGCAGGUAUUUCUGGACCCCUUUGGCAUCAGGCAAGUAUUUUUCCAUCCAGGUGACACAAGAAGUCUCAAACACAGAUCUCCAGAGGACCCCUGAACAUAAAAUUAUGCUGACCACCAAGAAGCAUGAGAUGGUCCAGACCUGAGUGGAAAUUAACUCAACAUCAAAAUUGUGAAAUCAGCUACUUGCUUUGAAGGAUUGAAAUUCAGAAUCUACAUACCCAUAUAAUAGGAUUAUAAUAUGAAUAAUGGUAUUUACUUGUGUUUACAAUUUACAAAAAAAAUUUUUUUGUUUGUUUUGAGUUAGUAGGCAUGGCAAUACUGGGGCACACUGCCACUGAACACUACCCUCAGAGCUUUGUUGUUUUUUAUUUUGAUACGGGAUCUCGCUAAAUUGUCCAGACUGGCCUGAAACUGGUGAUCCUCCUGCCUCAGUCUCCUGAGUCAUUGGGAUUGUGGUGUUGUUUGGAAUUACAAAAUGUUUUUUUACAUCCAUAAUCAUGACAGUUUUUUCUAUAUGAUUCCGUUUAUAUGAGAUUCAAACAUAAAUACAAGUAAGCUGUAUUGUUCAGAAAUGCAUACUUGGGUGGUAAACUACAAAACAAGUCAAGGAAAUAAUCACAAUUGUGUCAAGAGAAUGGUGAUGCCUAGAGGAAAAGAACCAGUGGGCGAGAGGAGGGGAGACUGCGGAGGGAGUGAUCCUGGCCAAAUUCUAUUGUUAUAUUGUGUGCAUGCAUAAAUAUGUAACAACAGAUUCCACUGUUAUGUACAACUAUAAUUCACCAAUUAAAAAAAAAAACUUGGAAAAAAAGAAAGAUGGCAAGAGAGAAAGGAGGUCUCAUUGGGAAAGGGCACAUGCAGGCCCUCUGGGGUCUGGCUGUGUUCCAUUUCUUAGUGUCAGUGGGGCUUACAUGGGUUUCAUUUGCAAUAAGUUGUACAAUUAUGAUAAUUUUGUACAUGAGUACAUUUUUUUUUCACACAUACAACAAAGAGCUGAGAAAAGAAAAGGAAUUAAGUUACUUUAUGUUAUUACAACCAGUAUUGGUUAUUACUUAUUACAAUUCUAGGGUAGAGAUGACUCAGAGCUAUGCAAUAUAUAAUGUGUGACUUCCUUGAUGGUAUUUUAGAUAAUUAUGCAUUGAUUUUUUUCAUAUCAUUUAUGUUUAAAGAGAUCUAUGUACCUAUAUAAUUCCAGUCUGAAAGAACCAAGAGAUUUACUCAAUGCAUCUGACAGUUAAUGUCAGAACUUGACUGUAACUUUUCUGACUCCAUAUCAAAAGCUCUUGAGUGGUGAUACCAAUAUUUCUUUCUCAGCUUUAAAACCUGCAUGCAUGUCUUUAUUUCAAGUGGAACUGAAUUGGUUAUCUUGCUAAUUAUGGAACUGUCUGUUAAUUUUUAAGCUUGAUUAAAAAAUGGCUCUGUAAUAGUUUUAAAAAAGGCUGGAUUUACUUAGUAUUGUCAUUUAAGCCACUGGGAAAGAUGUCCCUGAUUUUCUAGCAACAAAAACACCUUGAGAAAUUAGAAUCUUUUAGAUAGAGGAUGAAAUUCCAUUGUAAUGUUUUUGUAUACCAAAUAUAUUGUGUUCACUGUGAAACAUUUUUAAAAAUUUCAAAGAGUUACAGAAAUAAAAUCACCCAUUUUCUAACCUUAAAGUAUAAGCACUGUAACAUUUCGAUGUCUUUAAUCUGUUUGUAUGGGUGUUUACAAAAUUGACAUUCUGAAAAUGCUAUUUUGAAACUUACUUUUUAAACUUACCAUUAAUUCUUCAUAACACAAUUUAUAAGGUACAUAUAACAUGGUAUAGAGAAUGUAUCAUUUUUUAAGCCAAUUUCCUUUUGUUGACUGUUUUUCUUUUUCCUGUAUGCUGCUAUUAUAAACAUCUUUGUAAAUUAAUCUCUAUGUACAUCCAUUAUUUUCUCCUUUGAAUAAAUUCCUAGAAGCCAAAUCAUUGGAUCUGUGUCAAAGGGUAUGUAAACUGGAAAGGCUUGAUAAUAUCUGUCAAAUUGUCUUUCAGAGAUUUUCUCAAUUUAUGUGUUUCCCCAGCCAUGCUAAUAUGAGAUAUUCUAAUUUAAAUAUAAAAUAUUACAGAUUUUUUUAAAAUUUUAACCUUUAGUCCUUCAAAUAAAAGUCCUUUCAUUC